rnacentral:rRNA from 1 species
GAUGAACGCUAGCGGCAGGCCUAACACAUGCAAGUCGAGGGGUAGCAGGAUUAAGCUUGCUUAAUUGCUGACGACCGGCGCACGGGUGCGUAACGCGUAUGCAACCUACCUUAUACUGGGGUAUAGCCCGGAGAAAUUCGGAUUAAUCCCCCAUAGUACUAAUGAAUCGCGUGGUUUAUUAGUUAAAGCAUUGCGGUAUAAGAUGGGCAUGCGUCCUAUUAGCUAGAUGGUGAGGUAACGGCUCACCAUGGCUACGAUAGGUAGGGGGCCUGAGAGGGUAGUCCCCCACACUGGUACUGAGACACGGACCAGACUCCUACGGGAGGCAGCAGUGAGGAAUAUUGGUCAAUGGGCGCAAGCCUGAACCAGCCAUGCCGCGUGCAGGAAGAAUGCCCUAUGGGUUGUAAACUACUUUUAUUUGGGAAUAAACCUCUUUACGUGUAGAGAGCUGAAGGUACCAAAUGAAUAAGCACCGGCUAACUCCGUGCCAGCAGCCGCCGUAA